GAAACAACACUCCUCCCCUGUAUUUUAUCAACACAUUCUGCGCUGAUUCCAAACAACCGGAAGAAGCAUAGGAAUGAAUCAGAACGUUACUGAACAUCUGAUUCGAACCCAAGUUUUAACAUCUGGGCAUGUGCUUUUUCCCUUUGUAUAAAUCAAGCAAGUACGCGCAAGCCUUCAAAACGAAGGGAACGUUUGCUUAUCCGGCGACACAGUUCCUUGCUCUAGCAUUCUUUUACACAGCAAAAAAGUUUGUUCUUUACUAUCCGUCUACCAGAGCUCUGCGCACAGGCUCUAAUGAGAGUGUUCCACUUUAAUGAAUUGGGGCUGUGAAUUCCAUUGAAUGCUCGACAGGCAUAGUGAAAGGUAGAGGACUCGAGGGCAGAGAAAUGAAGAAAUUGACUAUAAGAAAAGAUGGCAUCUGGAUGGUUAGGUUAUGUGAAACGUAGAGCUUGCGCUUGAAUUUG
rnacentral:misc_RNA from 1 species